UGUGGAUGUGGCUCAGUGGUAGAGCACUUACCUUCAUGGGCAAGGCCCUGGGUUUGAUCCCCAGCACUGCAA
rnacentral:tRNA from 1 species